rnacentral:lncRNA from 1 species
GGCUGCCUGGCGACUGCACAAGCAGGGAUGGCGUCGCUUCAGCGUUCUCGGGUGCUACGCUGCUGCAGCUGCCGCCUCUUCCAGGCGCACCAGGUAAAAAAGAGUGUCAAGUGGACAUGCAAAGCUUGUGGAGAGAAGCAGUCCUUUUUGCAGGUCUCUAGAAGAAACUGUCAGUGCCAGUGAAGAAGAAAACGUGGGACACCAGCAGGCUGGGAAUGUGAAGCAGCAGGAAAAAUCGCAGCCCUCAGAGAGUCGCUGGCUGAAGUAUCUAGAAAAGGACUCCCAAGAACUGGAGCUGGAAGGAACAGGAGUGUGUUUCAGCAAACAGCCUUCAUCCAAAAUGGAGGAGCCAGGCCCCCGCUUCAGUCAAGACCUGCCUAGAAAAAGGAAGUGGAGCAGGAGCACCGUCCAGCCUCCGUGCAGCCGUGGCGUGCAGGACUCGGGUGGCUCUGAGGUCGCCUGGGGACCCCAGAAGGGACAGGCUGGCCUGACAUGGAAGGUGAAACAAGGCAGCAGCCCCUGCCUCCAGGAGAACUCUGCAGACUGCAGUGCCGGGGAGCUGAGGGGUCCUGGGAAGGAGCUAUGGAGUCCCAUCCAGCAGGAUGGCUACAAAGAGAUCUUAUUUUAAAAGCAGCUGAUGGUUUGGAAAUGAGAGAACUACAGUGGUGAAGAGACCAGGAGGCAGCUCUCAGUGAAACCAACAUUGCGGAUGCCCUUCGUGAGCCUUCUCAGUCCCAGCAGGAAGCCCACAACACUGGCCUCCCCAGCCUGCCUGCUGACAACACCUAGGCUUACUUUAUCUAAAAUCAGAGUGUACCAGGUCUGUAGCAG